rnacentral:rRNA from 1 species
ACAGCAGUAGCCGCGGGAAUACGGAGGGUGCAAGCGUUAAUCGGAAUUACUGGGCGUAAAGCGCACGCAGGCGGUCUGACAAGUCAGAUGUGAAAUCCCCGGGCUUAACCUGGGAACUGCAUUUGAAACUGUCAGGCUGGAGUCUUGUAGAGGGGGGUGGAAUUCCAGGUGUAGCGGUGAAAUGCGUAGAGAUCUGGAGGAAUACCGGUGGCGAAGGCGGCCCCCUGGACAAAGACUGACGCUCAGGUGCGAAAGCGUGGGGAGCAAACAGGAUUAGAGACCCCUGUAGUCCCUGUCUCUUAUAC